AAAAAAUGAGGAUUAAAAAUCCUUGUGAGGAUUAAGUUGCCAUGAGGACCACGGAGGUAAUUUAGAUCUCUAAGUGCUUGGCAAAGACGUUUGUAUCCUUCUGCAUAAGAAUCUCUGUGUCCCCGCUGAAAAGAAAACUAUACAGGAACACAGAACGGCCCAAGAACCUGCAGGUGAUGGAGGGUUGUCACCUCGGGAAAGUUUCCAAGUUGCUGUUUGCACACCUGUAUCACAGAGAAAAUACGAUGGCCCUUUCCUGUUUUCUAGAGGAAUUGUGAUUAUCAAA